rnacentral:rRNA from 1 species
GACUUCUGGUUUAAUGCACCUGGCCCGCGGCCCACAAGGCCUGUGAGUGCCGGCGCGCGUUUACCAUCCUUCCAGCAACGGCUACCCUUAACUGGGCGGCUGGAACUGGAUCUUUUACUUUGAAAAAAUUAGAGUGUUUAAAGCAGGCGUUUGCUCUGAAUACAUUUAGCAUGGCAUACUAAUCUAGGACUUCGGUUCUCUUUUGUUGGUUUCUCUAACUGAAGUCAUGAUUGAUAGGGAUAGUUGGGGGUGCUAGUAUUGGCCGGUCAGAGGUGAAAUUCUUGGAUUCGGUCAAGACUAACUUAUGCGAAAGCAUU